rnacentral:rRNA from 1 species
GAUGAACGCUGGCGGCGUGCCUAAUACAUGCAAGUAGAACGCUGAAGCUUGGUGCUUGCACCGAGCGGAUGAGCUGCGAACGGGUGAGUAACGCGUAGGUAACCUGCCUCUUAGCGGGGGAUAACUAUUGGAAACGAUAGCUAAUACCGCAUAAAAGACGAUAUCGCAUGAUAUUGAUUUGAAAGGUGCAAAUGCAUCACUAAGAGAUGGGCCUGCGUUGUAUUAGCUAGUUGGUGAGGUAACGGCUCACCAAGGCAACGAUACAUAGCCGACCUGAGAGGGUGAUCGGCCACACUGGGACUGAGACACGGCCCAGACUCCUACGGGAGGCAGCAGUAGGGAAUCUUCGGCAAUGGGGGCAACCCUGACCGAGCAACGCCGCGUGAGUGAAGAAAGGUUUUCGGAUCGUAAAAAGCUCUGUUGUAAAGAGAAAGAAA